rnacentral:misc_RNA from 3 species
AACGCACCUUGCGCCCUUUGGCUAUUCCGAAGGGCAUGCCUGUUUGAGUAUCAUGAACACCUCAACUCCUCAUGGCUUGCUGUGAUGAGCUUGGACUUUGGGGGUCUUGUUGGCCUGUGAGCCAGCUCCUCUUAAAGGAAUUAGCUUGCCAGUGUUUGGUGGCAUCCCAGGUGUGAUAACUAUCUACGCUUGCGGUUUCCCACCAGGUAACCUUCAGCAAUGGAGGUUCACUGGAGCUUAUAAAUGUCUUUCCUUUGUGAGGACACAUUUUGACCAUUUGAUCUCAAAUCAGGUAGGACUACCCGCUGAACUUAA